UACAGAGGUCUCAACCGUUGUUCGGAUUCAUUGGGCGUAAAGGGUGCGUAGGCGGUCGGGUAAGUCGGAUGUGAAAUCUCAGGGCUCAACCCUGAAACUGCAUUCGAUACUGCCUGGCUAGGGUACUGGAGAGGAGACUGGAAUUUACGGUGUAGCAGUGAAAUGCGUAGAUAUCGUAAGGAAGACCAGUGGCGAAGGCGAGUCUCUGGACAGUUCCUGACGCUGAGGCACGAAGGUCAGGGGAGCAAACGGG
rnacentral:rRNA from 1 species